rnacentral:rRNA from 1 species
CAGCGCCACGAGUGGCAAUCGUGUAUUUGGCCUAAAGCGUCCGUAGCCGGCGCUGUACAUCCUUUGUGAAAUCGUUGCGCUUAACGUAACGGCGUGCAGGGGACACGGCAGUGCUUGAGACCGGGAGGAGUCAGAGGUAUUCUUGGGGGAGCGGUAAAAUGCUAUAAUCCCAGGAGGACCACCAGUGGCGAAGGCUGCUGACUAGAACACGUCUGACGGUCAGGGACGAAAGCUGGGGUAGCGAACCGGAUUAGAUACCCGAGUAGUCC